UCUUGAUGAAAUAACCACAGUAUGUGAAUUCAUAAGGUCUAAAUGAAUUCGGCUUUAUUCUAUGUAUAAAAUAGUCACUUGACUUGCAUUCAGGUUGUGAAAUUUGUUGAGAAUUUCUUGACUCCUAGAUAGGGGUACAUUUGAGAAGAUGGAGGUAAAGGGAUGAUGGGUCAAGUAUUGUGUCUUCUAUGUAUUAUGCAUUGUGCUUUUAAAUGUGUCCUCUUUUAAAAUACUUACAGAAGUCUUUACAUAAAGCUUAUUAUCUUGAUUUUAUAGGUGAGGAAACUAAGGCUGGAGAGAUGAAGGUCAUUUAAACAAGAUCAACAGUCAUUAUAACUUCCCUAUUCAGAAUUGAGCAGUAGUGUCCAAUGUUGGAAAAAGCUCUGGCUGGAACAAUUUUCACUUUAUCAGAUUUGCAAGAUUCUAUUGUUCUCUCCUCUAAGGGAUGGAAACUGAAGAUGUGUAAAUUAAAAGCCCAAAGACCAGUCCCUCUUUAUUAAUUAAAAAGAAAUUCAGAGAAAUCCAGAGACUUAAAGAAAAAAUUUUUUUUUUCAUUAUGUGAGCCCAGUGUUGGUAAAAAGCAGGAAAAACAUCAGGAAGGCUGGCUUCUAAUCCAACAGACCAUUGUGCAGUAGUGUAGAUGCGGUCAGCGUACUUGUUCUUGAAACCAGGAGUUCAAAUAAGGUCUUUGCAGAUAAGCAACAUCAGAACGAAUAAUAACAAAAUAAAUAACAGCAAAAUAGGUAAAAUAAGGAAAGUAAACAAAAAUUAAACAAAGGACAGAACUUUCUGUACAUUUGGACACUUAGGGAUAAGUAGUUAUGAGGAUAAUGUGUUAUCACGUAGCUAAUUACUGUAAGUGCACAGAUGGUAUUCUGAGUUGAUGAAACUUCUUAUAUAUCCUAACCCUCAGAGGAAGCUGGUCCAGUGGUCCUUCUGGUGCCCGAUGGUGAGACUGCUCCUGAAACGCACGCAUCCUUACAACUAUCCUGAUUAUUCACCCUCCCACAAGGCAGAGUUUCCAGGAGUAGCACAAGACCUCUGAGAAGGAGCAGUUGAAUUGGGACAAGUAAAAUGCAAGUGGAAGAAACUGGGGCAGCUGUGAAAUCAGGAGAGUACAAAAUGAGGUAAAAACUUUUAAAAAUUCUAGUGUUUUAUGGAAAUACCAGAAUUUGACAACUCCAGGAAAAGUUACACCUUAAAAAAUACUAUAUUAUUACAAUAUGGCAGAAUAGAGUUUUUUUUGCAUGCAAUUUCAUAUAAUUUUCCUGAUGGCAUUUAGGAUAGGAAAACAUUUCACAGUAAAAGAAACUCUUGGAUAAUUUUCUGUCCUGCAUAUGUAUUCACUUUUAAAAAUAAUCAUUUCUUCUUUUUCUACUUAGUUCAAAUGAGUUGUUUCAUUUGAAAUAUACGUCAUUCAAAGGAAAUCUCUUUGCUAUCAUUCAUACUAUGUGGUGAACCCAAUUAACUUAGAUGAGUCAAAAUAGCACCUUUGGUGUAUGAAGCACAAUUGGAGAAAUCAUUAGGUAACCAUAUACAAAGCUAUAUUUAAGAUAUUGGA
rnacentral:lncRNA from 12 species